rnacentral:misc_RNA from 1 species
GAUGAAGAACGUAGCGAAAUGCGAUAAGUAAUGCGAAUUGCAGAAUUCAGUGAAUCAUCGAAUCUUUGAACGCACAUUGCGCCCGCCAGUAUUCUGGCGGGCAUGCCUGUUCGAGCGUCAUUUCAACCCUCAAGCUCUGUCUUGCGCUUGGUGUUGGGGAUCGGCCCUGCCCGCCAGCCCGGGCGGGCCGCCCCCGAAAUGAAUCGGCGGUCUCGUCGCAGCCUCCUCUGCGUAGUAAUUCAGUUAUCCUCGCACUUGGAGCGCGGCGCGGCCACUGCCCGUAAAACGCCCAACUUCUCAAGAGUUGACCUCGAAUCAGGUAGGAAUACCCGCUGAACUUAAGCAUAUCAAUAAGCGGAGGA